ACAGAUUCUCAUACACUGUUGGUGGGAAUGUAAAUUAGCAUCACCUUCUUGGAGGGUAAUUUGGAAAUAUUUAACAAUAUUAACAUGCACAUAUUCAUUUCUAGAAAUCUAUUUAUCUAUCUAUCUAGCCGGUAUCUAUCUGGUAGAUAAGCUCAUCAAGUGAGCAAAGCUAUGUAUCCCAGGGUGUUCAGUGUGGUGUGGUUGGUAAUAGUGAAAAAUUGGAAACAAGCCAACGGCCAUAAGAAAGUGAAAUAAAUUAUGGUUGCUUCUAAGCAAUAAAGCACUCUACAGCUGUUCAAAAGAACGAGGUACAGGAGUGCCUGGGUGG